GAUGAACGCUGGCGGCGUGCCUAAUACAUGCAAGUCGAGCGAACAGACGAGGAGCUUGCUCCUCUGACGUUAGCGGCGGACGGGUGAGUAACACGUGGAUAACCUACCUAUAAGACUGGGAUAACUUCGGGAAACCGGAGCUAAUACCGGAUAAUAUAUUGAACCGCAUGGUUCAAUAGUGAAAGACGGUUUUGCUGUCACUUAUAGAUGGAUCCGCGCCGCAUUAGCUAGUUGGUAAGGUAACGGCUUACCAAGGCAACGAUGCGUAGCCGACCUGAGAGGAUGAUCGGCCACACUGGAACUGAGACACGGUCCAGACUCCUACGGGAGGCAGCAGUAGGGAAUCUUCCGCAAUGGGCGAAAGCCUGACGGAGCAACGCCGCGUGAGUGAUGAAGGUCUUCGGAUCGUAAAGCUCUGUUAUUGGGGAAGAACAAAUGUAUAAGUAACUAUGCACGUCUUGACGGUACCUAAUCAGAAAGCCACGGCUAACUACGUG
rnacentral:rRNA from 1 species